AGUGAACGCUGGCGGUAGGCCUAACACAUGCAAGUCGAACGGCAGCACAGUAAGAGCUUGCUCUUACGGGUGGCGAGUGGCGGACGGGUGAGGAAUACAUCGGAAUCUACUUUUUCGUGGGGGAUAACGUAGGGAAACUUACGCUAAUACCGCAUACGACCUACGGGUGAAAGCAGGGGAUCUUCGGACCUUUCGCGAUUGAAUGAGCCGAUGUCGGAUUAGCUAGUUGGCGGGGUAAAGGCCCACCAAGGCGACGAUCCGUAGCUGGUCUGAGAGGAUGAUCAGCCACACUGGAACUGAGACACGGUCCAGACUCCUACGGGAGGCAGCAGUGGGGAAUAUUGGACAAUGGGCGCAAGCCUGAUCCAGCCAUACCGCGUGGGUGAAGAAGGCCUUCGGGUUGUAAAGCCCUUUUGUUGGGAAAGAAAAGCAGCAGGUUAAUACCCCGCUGUUCUGACGGUACCUAAAGAAUAAGCACCGGCUAACUUCGUG
rnacentral:rRNA from 1 species